UAUUAAAAAAUUCAUCCAUUUCUACUGUUAAAAAUUGGCGUGUUUGACAAAAUAACCAGACAAUUACACGUAGCGUACCACGUGUACCUUAUAGUGAUGUAUAGGGACCAACUUUUUUAAUAGUAGAAAUAGAUGAAUUUUUUAACA
rfam:Gossypium hirsutum cultivar TM-1 chromosome 5, whole genome shotgun sequence